rnacentral:rRNA from 1 species
AGAGUUUGAUCCUGGCUCAGGACGAACGCUGGCGGCGCGCCUAACACAUGCAAGUCGAACGGAGCUGAGAGGAGCUUGCUUUUUUCAGCUUAGUGGCGAACGGGUGAGUAACGCGUGAGUAACCUGCCCUGGAGUGGGGGACAACAGUUGGAAACGACUGCUAAUACCGCAUAAGCCCACGGAUCCGCAUGGAUCUGCGGGAAAAGGAUUUAUUCGCUCUAGGAUGGACUCGCGUCCAAUUAGCUAGUUGGUGAGGUAACGGCCCACCAAGGCGACGAUUGGUAGCCGGACUGAGAGGUUGAACGGCCACAUUGGGACUGAGACACGGCCCAGACUCCUACGGGAGGCAGCAGUGGGGGAUAUUGCACAAUGGGGGAAACCCUGAUGCAGCGACGCCGCGUGGAGGAAGAAGGUUUUCGGAUUGUAAACUCCUGUCGUUAGGGACGAUAAUGACGGUACCUAACAAGAAAGCACCGGCUAACUACGUGCCAGCAGCCGCGGUAAAACGUAGGGUGCAAGCGUUGUCCGGAAUUACUGGGUGUAAAGGGAGCGCAGGCGGACCGGCAAGUUGGAAGUGAAAACUGUGGGCUCAACCCAUAAAUUGCUUUCAAAACUGCUGGCCUUGAGUAGUGCAGAGGUAGGUGGAAUUCCCGGUGUAGCGGUGGAAUGCGUAGAUAUCGGGAGGAACACCAGUGGCGAAGGCGACCUACUGGGCACCAACUGACGCUGAGGCUCGAAAGCAUGGGUAGCAAACAGGAUUAGAUACCCUGGUAGUCCAUGCCGUAAACGAUGAUUACUAGGUGUUGGGAGGAUUGACCCCUUCAGUGCCGCAGUUAACACAAUAAGUAAUCCACCUGGGGGAGUACGACCCGCAAGGUUGAAACUCAAAGGGAAUUGACGGGGGGCCCGCACAAGCAGUGGAAGUAUGGGGGUUUAAUUUCGAAGCAACGCGAAGAACCUUACCAGGUCUUGACAUCCGAUGCAUAGUGCAGAGAUGCAUGAAGUCCUUCGGGACAUCGAGACAGGUGGUGCAUGGUUGUCGUCAGCUCGUGUCGUGAGAUGUUGGGUUAAGUCCCGCAACGAGCGCAACCCUUAUUGCCAGUUACUACGCAAGAGGACUCUGGCGAGACUGCCGUUGACAAAACGGAGGAAGGUGGGGAUGACGUCAAAUCAUCAUGCCCUUUAUGACCUGGGCUACACACGUACUACAAUGGCGUUUAACAAAGAGAAGCAAGACCGCGAGGUGGAGCAAAACUCAAAAACAACGUCUCAGUUCAGAUUGCAGGCUGCAACUCGCCUGCAUGAAGUCGGAAUUGCUAGUAAUCGCGGAUCAGCAUGCCGCGGUGAAUACGUUCCCGGGCCUUGCACACACCGCCCGUC